UCUUAUCAAGAGAGGUGGAGGGAAAGGGCCCGAUGAAACCCGGCAACCUGUUAAAAUAACAAGGUGCCAAUUCCUGUAGGUUUAAUAUCUACGAGAUGAG
rnacentral:ncRNA from 1 species